GACGAACGCUGGCGGCGUGCUUAACACAUGCAAGUCGAACGGAAAGGCCCUGCUUUUGUGGGGUGCUCGAGUGGCGAACGGGUGAGUAACACGUGAGUAACCUGCCCUUGACUUUGGGGUAACUUCAGGAAACUAGGGCUAAUACCGGAUAGGAGCUCCUGCUGCAUGGUGGGGGUUGGAAAUUUUCGGCGGUUGGGGAUGGACUCGCGGCUUAUCAGCUUGUUGGUGGGGUAGUGGCUUACCAAGGCUUUGACGGGUAGCCGGCCUGAGAGGGUGACCGGCCACAUUGGGACUGAGAUACGGCCCAGACGCCUACGGGAGGCAGCAGUGGGGAAUAUUGCACAAUGGGCGGAAGCCUGAUGCAGCAACGCCGCGUGCGGGAUGACUGCCUUCGGGUUGUAAACCGCUUUCGCCUGUGACGAAGCGUGAGUGACGGUAAUGGGUAAAGAAGCACCGGCUAACUACGUG
rnacentral:rRNA from 1 species